GGUUUUAAUUUAAAUUUUAUUUCCCGCCACUUAAAGUUCAAAUCUCAACGGACGCCAUUGAGGAGAGUGAGGAGGAGGACAGCGCUUUUCACCACAGGACGGAGAAGACGAUAAUUAGCGAUUAUUUCUGCAAAAAGUUGUCCAUUCUUAUGUCGAAUACAAUCCUGAAUGAAAUUCUAACGUGUUUUAAGUAGUUUGGCGUCGAAAUCAACGUUUGGGAGAAUAUGAAGGAUAUCUGAAGAUUAUGCACCGCUCCGUCUUGUUGGAGAAGCAGCUUGUUGGGACGUCGAGGUGUCUGUUAAAAAUCCUGUGUGUAAUUGAGCGAUACAACAUAGGAGAUUCAUCUGGAGACCAUGAUAUAAUCACCGCAAUACAAGAUGAGGAAGACACGCAGUGAGUCUGGCGUAGCAGGAAAUAGAUACAACAAUGUGUGUGCCCUCACUCCUCGUUAGUAUAGUGAUUUAACAGCAUCAAUGAUUUGAAAAUCUCCAGCAAAAACCAAAACAUUUUGCCCCGUGUGAGGCUCGAACUCACGACCUUCAGAUUAUGAGACUGACGCGCUGCCUACUGCGCCAACGAGGCCUGAAGUCCAUGUGUGCAAGACCUCCUCAUGUUCCUGCUGGGGCGCAUCUGUCCCACCAAACUGGCUGGACAUUCCUGAUGGAGUUUAUCGCUGCUUUUGCACUCGCCGCCUGCAGACUGGAGGUGGACACCAUCACAGACGCACGCUUGGGACCAAUAAAGGCGUAACUAUGCUCUACAUAUAUCCCUCGCU